GCGGAAGAUGUUCGCAAGGCUUUAUUUGAUAUUGGGGACUUGAAAGCUCCAGGACCAGAUGGACUCCAUGCUAUCUUCUAUAAAAGGUUCUGGCCCAUGCUAGGGGAAGACCUAAUUGAGGAGGUUCUGAAAGCAAUCAAUACAUGUACUAUCCCGAAUGGUUGGAAUGAUACUGCAAUCAUGAUGAUUCCUAAGAUUAACACACCAGAAAAGGUAUCCCAAUUUAGGCCGAUCAGCUUAUGUAAUGUGGUAUACAAAAUAAUUGCAAAAAUGGUGGCCUCUCGAUUGAAGACCCUUCUACCAGAAAUUAUUAGUCCAACAUAGAGUGAUUUUGUACCAGGUAGAUUGAUAACGGAUAAUAUUUUAGUGGCCUACGAAUGUUUUCACACAAUCAAGAAUAAAAGAGAGGGUAGAGAGGGCUUGUGUGCUAUCAAGCUUGACAUGCACAAAGCUUACGAUAGAGUCGAAUGGGCUUUUCUGAAGGAAAUUAUGCUGAAAUUGGGUUUCCGCCGAGAGUGGGUUAAUUUGAUUAUGCAAUGCGUCACAACAGUAGGAUACAAAGUAAGGAUAAAUGCAGAGGAAAGUGAGAGUUUUAAGCCUACUAGAGGGUUGAGACAGGGGGACCCGCUAUCACCAUACCUAUUUCUGCUGUGCACAGAAGGGUUGAAUGCCUUACUCUCGCAUGCUGAGGAGAACGGGAACAUAUCAGGAGUUAAAGUCUGUAGAGACGCCCCACCAGUAACUAACCUACUCUUUGCGGAUGACUCGUUGAUCUUGAUGAAAGCCAACCAACAUAAUGCGGCGGCCCUGAAAUCAGCACUAGAUUUAUAUUGUGCGGCGUCGGGACAGCUGGUUAGCGUGGAAAAGUCUAGUAUUUUCUUUAGCCCCAAUACAAAGGUAGAGGUCAGAGAACACUUGUGUACAAUGCUCAAUAUAAUGACGAAGGCCCUGAAUGACAAAUACUUUGGCUUGCCAGCAAAUGUGGGCGUUGAUAAAACAGAUUGCUUUAAAUUUCUAAUUGAACGUAUUGUUAAGAAAAUUAGUGGUUGGAAGGAAAAACUACUAUCUGCCGGGGGGGGGGAGAUCCUGCUCAAGGCUGUGAUCCAAGCCAUACCUACCUAUGCAAUGUCGGUCUUUAAAAUUCCUAAAAAAAUUGUAAAGGAAAUUGACGCGAUAGCGCAUUUCUGGUGGGGAGACGAGGAGAACCAGAGGAGGAUGCACUGGAUGGCCUGGUGGAAAAUGUGUGUACCAAAAACCCAAGGAGGAAUGGGAUUCCGUGAUAUCCACUGUUUCAACCUGGCCCUGCUGGCCAAACAGGCAUGGCGUCUCCUUGAUAACCCUGAUUCCUUGUGUGCCACUAUUCUAAGGGCCAAGUGCUACCCUGAUGGCGAUCUGCUGAAUUCCAAGCCAAAGCAUGGUGCUUCCUUCACCUGGCAAAGCAUUAUGGCAGGCGUUACUACUCUGAAACGUGGCUAUAUUUGGCGAGUGGGAAAUGGACAUAACAUCAAUAUUUGGGAAGAUGCAUGGAUCCCAAAUUGUGCCACUAGGAAGAUUGUGACUCCUAGGGGGGACAAUUGUUAUCAAGAGUGGUUGAUUUGA
rnacentral:rRNA from 1 species